AUACGUAGGGGGCGAGCGUUGUCCGGAAUGAUUGGGCGUAAAGGGCGCGUAGGCGGCCCGGUAAGUCUGGAGUGAAAGUCCUGCUUUUAAGGUGGGAAUUGCUUUGGAUACUGUCGGGCUUGAGUGCAGGAGAGGUAAGUGGAAUUCCCAGUGUAGCGGUGAAAUGGGUAGAGAUUGGGAGGAACACCAGUGGCGAAGGCGGCGUUCUGGGCUGGAACUGAAGCUGAGGCGCGAAAGGGUGGGGAGCAAAGAGGAUUAGAUACCCUUGUAGUCCACGCUGUAAACGAUGGGAUCUAGGCGUAGGGAGUAUCGACCCUUUCUGUGCCGCAGUUAAAGCAAUAAGCAUGAAGCCGGGGGAGUACGGCAGCAAGAUUGAAACUCAAAUGAAUUGACGGGG
rnacentral:rRNA from 1 species